CUAAACAAAGCCAUUCUGAACUGCUUGGCCUGUGUUUUGCUGCUGCCUGAUUCUUAGUACUGCAGCUCAUUUACAACACAAAUCAGAAAAGAAAAGGUGGGAGACAUAGAAAGUUGUGGCCAUGAGGACUUCCAAAGAUACUGGAGGUUUAAUGAGAUAUAAAGGGUCACGGGCAAGCUGGAGCCGAUCCCAGAUGACUAUGGGUGAAAGGCACACCCUGGACAAGUGAGAGGUACACCCUGGACAAGUCGCCAGAUCAUCAAAGGGCUGACACAUAGAGACAAACAACCAUUCACACCGACGGUCAAUUUAGAGCCACCAAUUAGCCUAACCUGCAUGUCUUUGGACUGUGGGGGAAACUGGAGCACCCGGAGGAAACCCACACAGACAGGGGAGAACAUGCAAACUCCACACACAAAGGCCCCCGUCGGCCACUGGGCUCGAACCCAGAACCUUCUUGCUGUGAGGUGACAGUGCUAACCACUACACCACCAUGCCACCCUGUUUGUGUAAAUUAACAUACCCAUAUCAUUAUCAAUAAAGGUCACAGUAUACAUAAUA